GAUGAACGCUGGCGGCGUGCUUAACACAUGCAAGUCGAACGAAGCAUUUAAGACAGAUUACUUCGGUUUGAGGUCUUUUAUGACUGAGUGGCGGACGGGUGAGUAACGCGUGGGUAACCUGCCUCAUACAGGGGGAUAGCAGCUGGAAACGGCUGGUAAUACCGCAUAAGCGCACAGUACCACAUGGUACAGUGUGAAAAACUCCGGUGGUAUGAGAUGGACCCGCGUCUGAUUAGCUUGUUGGCGGGGUAACGGCCCACCAAGGCGACGAUCAGUAGCCGACCUGAGAGGGUGACCGGCCACAUUGGGACUGAGACACGGCCCAGACUCCUACGGGAGGCAGCAGUGGGGAAUAUUGCACAAUGGAGGAAACUCUGAUGCAGCGACGCCGCGUGAGUGAAGAAGUAGUUCGCUAUGUAAAGCUCUAUCAGCAGGGAAGAUAGUGACGGUACCUGACUAAGAAGCUCCGGCUAAAUACGUG
rnacentral:rRNA from 1 species